CCCACGUCAGGCCGCGGGCGCGAAAGCCUUCAGCCACACUCGCCGAUCCAAGGGAUGGCCAAGGAUCUGCCCCUGCCCAGGCCCACGCCCAGCCUGGGGGAAUCAUUGAGAGGGAAGGCUCGGCUUCCCCCGUCACCUCGUCCACCCUGAGCCACGUCCACCGCGCUGGGGUUGGCCCUCCCGCACACUCUGGUGGUUUCCUGUCUGCGAGGGCUGGGGAUCGAACAUAGGCCUUGCACACCAUAGACAAGCACUCUCCCACUGAGCUCCACCCCGCUCGGGGGCCUCUGGACUCUUAACCAGCUUAGCCUCCCUCCUCUGAUCCCAGCACGGAAGUAAACAAAGACCAUCCAACCAACAAGGACUCUCGCUCAGGAGUGAUGCCAUGGCAGGACGGGGAGAGCUUCAGAGUGGACAGGAGACCAUUUCCGGUGUGCCUGGCAGGAGGCUUCCAGCCUAGGGAUCAGGAGGCAGCUACCUGGAUGCGGGACACCCCAUUUAAUUGGCCAGAGGAACAUAUUUGGCUUUUGCUUGGAAAAGAGGAUAAGUUGGAAACAGGUGCGACAUUCCUGUGUAACUCCAAAGGAGACAGUCCCAGGUCGGGGAGCUGAGGCAGCAGGCCUCAGAAGGAGCUGGGAGCGUGCUCAGGAAAGCCCCGGAGACAUGUGAAAGGCAGGCCCUCGAGGAAUCUGGGAGACAGCAGCCAGAGAGCACGGGAAGAGAAUAUUGUGGCUGCAGUUCUUGAAAACCCUGCCUCAUACUGUGGCUUUGGGAAGACAGAGAAGCUGACUGCAGGAGCUCCACCUGCACUUCCUGCUCCAGAUGCUCCCUCCAUGGAGACCCCUGGAAUAAACCAGAGUGGGGCCCCAAAUGCCAAGGAACUUCUUGCCAUCACCCAUUUCUGAUGGCUAUUGCCAGCCCCAGCAGGAAGAGGAGAAGCUGGACUGAAGGUGGUAAAGAAGCCCAGAAGAGGCUGCAGUCUCUGCAAAAGCACUGAGAUGCAAAGGCCCCACUCCUCUGAGUAGGUCAGAUGCCCCGGAAGGUUAUAGAAUGGCACGGCCAUCCUUCCAGGGGUUUCAAGAAGACUCUGCCUCAGCAAUUUCCAGAACAAAUGUGCUGUUUGUUUGAGUCAGGAAAUCACAGGCUGCAAAUUCCCCAGGGGCCCAAGAAUCCAGCCCCUGGCUCCUCCUGUCCUUGUGUGAGCAGGACAGUUAGAUGCACACCACAGCACUGAGGUUAAAUUACAACAACCUAACCUGGGCUGGCCCUCAGAUGCCAAGAUUCCCCUCAGAGAGGGUCAGUGGUUAACCAGGUCUCUCCAGGACUCUCACAUAAGUGGCCUGAAUGGGGGCAGCUCUGCUCUGACCCAGGUAGCUCUCACCCUAACCCUGCAGUGGUGGUGAGCUGUGGAGCCAGGGUGGAUGCAUCAUAGGUGUUUCAGCGAAGACAGCCCCUAAUUUCCCAUACCUUCACGGUGUCCCCACCAUUGCCUGGCCAAAGUUCUGCCUACCCAGUCUGAUCCCUUCUCCUCUUUAUCCAGCCUCUUCCUCUUUUUUGUUUGUUUGUUUGUCGAGACUAAGUCUCACCAUGUAAUUCAGGAUGGCCUGAAACUCCUCGGACUCACUAUGUAGCCCAGGCUGGCCUUGAACUUGUGGCAAUCCUCUUGCCUCAGCCUGCCAAGUGUUGGGAUUACAGGUGUGCACCACCUUCCCCAGCCUGUUCCUCUUAUUCUGCCACUUUACCCUAGGACUUUGCUCAUUCAUUCUUUCCAAAUGUCCCCUCUCCCUGUCAAUCUGGGUCCAUUCCAUGCCUGGUUUGUAAGCAUAACUGACCUGAUCCCUAAUUGCAAGCCCCCAGUCUCUCCCAGGAAGCCCAGGUUUGACAAGUGUGACCCCCAGGGUACUGGGUCACCACAGGAAAUGCCAGAGUCCAAAGUCUACCCAGGACUGGCAGCUCAGAUGGUUCCAGGGCAGAAAUAACCUGAGCCUGAUGCCCUUUGAGAAGCUGGCAGAUGGACACACACAUCCAUCUCAGCAGAGGGAAUGAGGGGCAAGACCAAGGCCUUAGGCUGUGCAUGGAGAGGAACAGGGGCUGGCCGUAGGGAUGGGCACUAAGAACAGUCUCGGCCUCACUCAGGGGACAAAAAGCACACAAAGAGUUCUCCAGACCCCAUUUUCCACUGAGGAGCCGGGGCAAACAGAAGGUUGGAUGACACACUCGAUUGGCAAGGGUGGGAGAAGGCACUCUCGGGCUUUGCUAGGACUGUAAGCUGAUCCCAUCUCUAUGGAGGGGGCAGCUCGCCAGUGUCUGCCAAAGGCACAGACUCCUUGACCCAGCAAUUCUACUUCCAGCUAUGGAUACUUAUCUGGGAAAUGGUCCCUUGGUGUUGUUUGUAGCAAUGACUGAAGAUGGGAGGUACCCUUCUUAGGGGACUGGGUCUGUGACAGGAUACAAUGGGCAGAGUAAAGAGUUAAGAGACACUGAAGUAUGACCAUGGAACCAGGUGGUAGAUGAAUUGUAAAGAGGGAAAAUAGCGGGCUGUGCUAUGCGGGCAGCUCCUCGGGAGGCUGAGGAAAGAGGAUUGCAAAUUCAAGGCCAGCCUGGGUAACUUAAUGAGACCCUGUCUCGAAAUAAAGAAGGCUAGGUAUGUAGCUCAGCGGUAGAGCCCUUGCCUAGCAUGCAGGCAGUGGGAGGAAGUGGAGGAGGAAGAGGAGAGAGGAAGAAAAACAGAGUCAAGGGCUGAAAAGGCUGUGGGCUGACUGGCUUCCGGUCUCAAUGCUGCGUAAAAGAGAGACCAUACACACGCUUGUCUGCUCCUGCAUUGCAAGGAAUUUCUCUGAAUGGAUAUCAGAGAAAUGGGUUGCCUUGGUUUUAUAGGAACAACUAUUUUCUUUAUAUAUAUUUUUGUAACUAAAAUUUUGGCCACGGUGGCGGCACACACCAGUAAUCCCAGCACUUGGAAGGUUGAGGCAGGAGGAUUGCCAGUUCAAGGCCAUCCUGGCUUACAUUCAGAAACCUUAUCAUGAAAAAAAACACUCCCUCCCCAAAAUCUUUUUGAACUGUUGUAAGCAUGUCACCUAUUCAAAAAUUAAAUAAAUAUAAAGUAUGUGAGCCCCAGCUCUGUAAUGGAAAUGAUACAAUCUCAUUGUUUUUUUUGUUUUUUUUAAUGAGCGUUUUGUUUUGUUUUGUUUCUGAGAGUGUGUCUUUUUGUACUGUCCAGGCUGGUUUUGAACUUCUGGCUUCAGGAGAUCCUCUUGCCUCAGCCUCCUUGAAUAGCUGGCACUACAAGUAUGUUCCACCGUACCCAGCUUGCAUCAGUAGUUGAAGUAUUCUAGAGGCCAAGCCAGGAGGAGUUCAAGCCCAGCCUGGACUACAUAGAGAGACCCUGUCUCAACACUCACCCCGCCGAAAAAGGAGGCUUAGAAAAGCAAGGUAACUUCUUGGAGGUCACAUGGUACAUAGUUGAACUAGGACUCGAGUCUAGGUUUGGGGGCUCCCUGUCACAUGCCUUUUUCUGCCUCACCCUAAGGCAGGAGAGUCCUGGGGGCUUUGUCACUGUGUUCCCAUUCCCACCUAGAACAUGAUCCAGGCCACAUUAUGGACCAGCUGGCUCAGACACUAAUUGUCAGAAGAUGGCAUUGACUGGGCCAGGGAUUUAGCUCAGUGGUUUCGCCUCCUGAUGUGCAAGUGCAAGGACCUGAGUUCAAUCCCUGGUACCAAAAAAAGAAAAAAAAAAGAUGGCAUUAACUUUCAGGUCAGUUUUUUGCUACCUGAGUGACUUUUGGGGAGGUAUGGUGUGAAUGUGUGUUCCCCAAAUUCUUACGCUGAAACUUAGUUCCUACUGUUGUAGUAUUGAGAGGUGGGGCCUUAAGGAGGCAAUUAGGAUCUUUAUGAACCGGCCCAGGGGAGCUUGUUCUCUGUUCCACCGUGUGAAGACUCAACAAGGAGGCGCCAUCUUGGAAGCAGAGAGCUAGCCCUCACCUGAGAAGAAGUCGGCCACAAUCUCUGUUUUAGACUUCUCAGCCUCCAAAACUGUGAACAGAACAUUCACAUUGCUUAUAAAUUCCCCAGUCUGGGAUAGAGGAUUUAGCUCAGUGGUUUCACUGACUGCUACAAAAGCGCAAGGACCCGAGUUCAAUCCCUGGUACCAAAAAAAAAAAAAAAAAAAAAAAAAUUCCCCAGCCUGAGGUGUUUUCUUGUAGUGGUCCAGACUGAGAAGUUGCUUCAUGUGUAAAGCAGGAACAAUAACAGUUACCCAUGCCCAGGGUGGCUGUGGGGGUUGAAUGACCUUCGCGUUAAGGAAACAGCAGCCUGCAAGUCCAAACAGGCCAGGUUUCCUGCCCCACUGUGAGCUGUCAGCAGCCCAGGACUCUUAAACAAAUGAAAAAGAAAGUGUUUUAUAUCUACUCCAGUACUUACAUCCACUGGCAGCCUGCCGAGGGUUCUUUCUAACAUUCUUCUCUCCUUCCCUUCUCUGAUUCCCACUAUCCUUUCCUUCCUGCCCCUGAGCCAGGUCUCAUGGAGGGAGAGUAGCUCCCUGAGAUUCUUCAAGGACUCAGGCCAGGGAAGGAAGGAUCCGUGUGUGUGUGUGUGUGUGUGUGUGUGUGUGUUGUGUGUCUUUUCCUCACCCUUCUUGCUGCUUAAAUUUCCAAGUAUUUGUUUUCUCUGGAAGUUACUGUCCAACAGCAGUGGACUAUGGAAGGAGAAAGAUUCAUAAAUGACAAGAGGUUUCCUUCCUCUUCUCCACUAAGUAGAUUUGAAGACUAAGCCCCUGGCC
ensembl:lncRNA